UACGGGGGGGGCAAGCGUUGUUCGGAAUUACUGGGCGUAAAGGGCGCGUAGGCGGUUCGCUAAGUUGAAUGUGAAAACUCUGGGCUUAACCCAGAGCCUGCAUCCAAAACUGGCGAACUGGAGUACUGGAGGGGAAAGCGGAAUUCCUGGUGUAGCGGUGAAAUGCGUAGAUAUACGGAGGAACACCAGCGGCGAAGGCGGGUAGCUGGGCCAACACUGACGCUGAUGCGCGAAAGCCAGGGUAGCAAACGGG
rnacentral:rRNA from 1 species